rnacentral:rRNA from 1 species
UACGUAGGGUGCAAGCGUUGUCCGGAAUUAUUGGGCGUAAAGAGCUCGUAGGCGGUCUGUCACGUCGGCUGUGAAAACCCGAGGCUCAACCUCGGGCCUGCAGUCGAUACGGGCAAACUAGAGUACUGCAGGGGAGACUGGAAUUCCUGGUGUAGCGGUGAAAUGCGCAGAUAUCAGGAGGAACACCGGUGGCGAAGGCGGGUCUCUGGGCCGAUACUGACGCUGGAGGAGCGAA